rnacentral:rRNA from 1 species
CCUACGGGAGGCUGCAGUGAGGAAUAUUGGUCAAUGGACGAGAGUCUGAACCAGCCAAGUAGCGUGAAGGAUGACUGCCCUAUGGGUUGUAAACUUCUUUUAUAUGGGAAUAAAAUGUUCCACGUGUGGGAUUUUGUAUGUACCAUAUGAAUAAGGAUCGGCUAACUCCGUGCCAGCAGCCGCGGUAAUACGGAGGAUCCGAGCGUUAUCCGGAUUUAUUGGGUUUAAAGGGAGCGUAGGUGGAUUGUUAAGUCAGUUGUGAAAGUUUGCGGCUCAACCGUAAAAUUGCAGUUGAAACUGGCAGUCGUGAGUACAGUAGAGGUGGGCGGAAUUCGGGGUGUAGCGGUGAAAUGCUUAGAUAUCACGAAGAACUCCGAUUGCGAAGGCAGCUCACUGGACUGCAACUGACACUGAGGCUCGAAAGUGUGGGUAUCAAACAGGAGUAGAUACCCCAGUAGUC